rnacentral:rRNA from 1 species
AUUGAACGCUGGCGGCAUGCUUUACACAUGCAAGUCGAACGGCAGCGCGGGCUUCGGCCUGGCGGCGAGUGGCGAACGGGUGAGUAAUGCAUCGGAACGUGCCCAGUAGUGGGGGAUAGCCCGGCGAAAGCCGGAUUAAUACCGCAUACGACCUGAGGGUGAAAGCGGGGGACCGAAAGGCCUCGCGCUAUUGGAGCGGCCGAUGUCGGAUUAGCUAGUUGGUGGGGUAAAGGCUUACCAAGGCGACGAUCCGUAGCUGGUCUGAGAGGACGACCAGCCACACUGGGACUGAGACACGGCCCAGACUCCUACGGGAGGCAGCAGUGGGGAAUUUUGGACAAUGGGGGCAACCCUGAUCCAGCCAUGCCGCGUGCGGGAAGAAGGCCUUCGGGUUGUAAACCGCUUUUGUUCGGGAAGAAAUCCUCUGGGCUAAUACCCCGGGGGGAUGACGGUACCGGAAGAAUAAGCACCGGCUAUCUACGUG